rnacentral:rRNA from 1 species
AUACGGAGGAUGCGAGCGUUAUCCGGAUUUAUUGGGUUUAAAGGGAGCGUAGGUGGGAUAUUAAGUCAGCUGUGAAAGUUUGGGGCUCAACCUUAAAAUUGCAGUUGAUACUGGUUUCCUUGAGUACGGUACAGGUGGGCGGAAUUCGUGGUGUAGCGGUGAAAUGCUUAGAUAUCACGAAGAACUCCGAUCGCGAAGGCAGCUCACCGGGCCGGAACUGACACUGAUGCUCGAAAGUGCGGGUAUCAAACAGGAUUAGAUACCCCGGUAGUCCGCACAGUAAACGAUGAAUACUCGCUGUUUGCGAUACACUGUAAGCGGCCAAGCGAAAGCGUUAAGUAUUCCACCUGGGGAGUACGCCGGCAACGGUGAAACUUAAAGGAAUUGGCGGG